AAGCAUUUCAGAAAGCUUUGGGA
rnacentral:snRNA from 1 species